ACAAGAACAUAUACAAGUGCAGAAGCUCAUAAGCUAUUGUUCCAACACCUUACCGGACAUCUAAUUCAAAACAUACCUUGAGUGGGAGACUCGUGUGCCUAACAUUCAUUGAGGGGGAGACUCGUUUGUUAGGGCUAGUUGAUAGGUUUGUAUGUUUGGUUUUUCAUAGAAUAGCUUCAUUAAAGUCUAGUUGUUGCUAGCAUUAUUGAUAGGAUUAGAAA
rnacentral:lncRNA from 1 species